rnacentral:rRNA from 1 species
GAUGAACGCUGGCGGCGUGCUUAACACAUGCAAGUCGAGCGAAGCACUUAGGAAAGAUUCUUCGGAUGAUUUCCUUUGUGACUGAGCGGCGGACGGGUGAGUAACGCGUGGGUAACCUGCCUCAUACAGGGGGAUAACAGUUAGAAAUGACUGCUAAUACCGCAUAAGACCACGGUACCGCAUGGUACAGUGGUAAAAACUCCGGUGGUAUGAGAUGGACCCGCGUCUGAUUAGGUAGUUGGUGGGGUAACGGCCUACCAAGCCGACGAUCAGUAGCCGACCUGAGAGGGUGACCGGCCACAUUGGGACUGAGACACGGCCCAGACUCCUACGGGAGGCAGCAGUGGGGAAUAUUGCACAAUGGAGGAAACUCUGAUGCAGCGACGCCGCGUGAAGGAUGAAGUAUUUCGGUAUGUAAACUUCUAUCAGCAGGGAAGAAAAUGACGGU